CCUGAACCCGAACCUGACGGGUUUUAAAAAUUUAUACCCAUAUCUGUACCCGACCAAAAACCCGAAAUCCGAAUCCGGACCCGAACCCGGCGAGUUUUAAAAAUCCAUACCGUUGAAUGAAGAUCUAAGAGUUAAAAAUAAUUAAAUAUUUUAUAUAUUAUAUAGAUAAAUAAAAAUAAAUUAUGUAUAUAUAUAAUUUAUUCAGGUUCGGGUUCAGGUUCGGGUCGGAUAAAUACAAAAUCCAUACUCGUAUCUGUAUCCGUCGGGUUUUUAUUUUCUAUAUCCAUAACCGAAUCCAUAUCAGUUUAGUUCGGAUAAACCCGUCCCGUUCGAAUUCGGAUUCGGAUAAUAUUUCAGAUAUCUAUACCCAUUGACAUCCCUAACUGAAACACUAUUUAAGGAAAAAAAAAGGAUAAUUUCAAAUUUACCAUUCUCAAAUUUCAAACUAGGAUUAAUUUUAUGAAGAUUCCUGCAAAUAUAAUGAACUACAAAUAUAUCCCUAUAAAAUUCAACUUUUAUAUAUUGUUUCUUAAAAAGUCCUAAUAUUUUCAAAUAUGUCCCUCUAGUUUUAUUACCGUUAAAGCACUAUUUAUUUUGUAAGUAAAAUGACAUUGUUAUCAUCACAAAUAUGUCCCUCAAAAAAUCUCAACGGUUAAGUAAAGAGGGAUAAAAAGAUCAAUUCACUUCAUUAACUAAACAUGAUUAAGUAUUUAACUUAUAGUUAAUUAAUUUUUCUAACGAAUUCUAACGACAGGAACAUAUUUGAAAACAUCAGGACUUUUACAAGGACAGCAUAUGAAGUUGAACUUUGUAGAAAUAUAUUUACAAUUUAUUAUAUUUUUAAGAACCUGUAUGUAAUUAACCCUUCAAAAUAUUAUAGUUACCUAUCCAAAGUUAAAAAUACCAUCAAUAUUUCUCUAAAUAUACAAUUCUAUCGCGAACACUUCUGCAAAUAUAUAUAUAUAUAUAUAUAUAUAUAUAUAUAUAAAAGGGUACUUAUAUAUUUUUCAAUUUAGGGAUACACCUAUAAAGUUAUAUUUUUUUGGAAGGGUGCAGAUCUUACAAAAUGUGCCUUGGGAUCAGUAAGACUUAGUUUGGUAUUAAGAUCUAUUUGACUCUAUUAGAUAAAAUAAAGUUGGGAUAAAAAUAUAUAGGGAUAUGCUUCUGCGUUUUCUGACCGUGAAAAAUAUAUCAUAACUGAUUCAUCACUAUAUGCGAAAUACAAUAUUACGUACGGAAACAAACAUGAUAUUUUUUUAUCGCAUUUUCUUACUGCACGUAACGCAAUUCUUUCGCAAUUCCAAACGAAACCUAAUUAGCUUAAAUUAUGAAGUAAAAAUAUCAUUAACUAACUCAAAUCAAAAAAUUGAAAGAUUGGAUACUAAAAUUAAAAUUUUAAAAGGUUGGGUAGUUAU
rnacentral:lncRNA from 1 species